GUAGCCAUCCCGAGCCCGGCUGCCUCGCGGCCGCAAGGAGAACAGCCACGCGCGCCCCGGGAGCCGGCAGGUUGCGGCGAGCAGGGGCAGCGAACGCGGUUCUCCAAAGCAUAAAGGGGCUGAGCGACAGCGUGCGGGUGCCGGGUGAGUUCGGGGCCCGGUCGUGCCCGCUUAGCCCCCAGAGGCAGCUCUGAGAGCUUCGAGGGCAGCGCCCGUGAGGAAGUGGCGCCUCUUCCCUCGGCGGCACCCGCCGCGAUUCUCGGUUUCCUGCCUGCGUGUUGUUGUUCCACCUGUUUGUGAACGCUUUUGCUGCCCGCACUGUACGCACACGUGCGUUCGCGUUCCGCCCUCAUUUCAGACGUUGCACUGGGAUAAUUGAGCUCAUGCAAAACGCUGCGUGGAAGUAAUUAAAACUGUUUUCGCCUGUGCCGUUCCUGCCGGGCUCGUACAAGCUGAGGUAUUUUCUGUAGGUGCAUCUUCAUGCAAGCACUCGUGCUUGCUGUGUUCAUUUCAGUGCACUGCUGUGUGGCUGCAGGCCCAACGUGGUCUGUUUGCUGUAGAACUGCAGGUUCAAUUCUAGAGGGGAAAAAAGGAACAGGAGAGGUCAAAAAGAAGCAAACAAUUUACUACAAGCAAAUUCAAAACGUUUUGUGUUCUUAUGCUUCCACUGAGCACCAGACAAACUCAGCAACCUGAAGUGCUGUUUAUCAUGCAGUACAGGAGAAGCCUAUGGAUGUCUCCAUGAGUUAAUUUUGCAUAAAAGCAAAAUUAAGGUAUUUGUACUCUGACAGUGCACAUCUGUACACAAGUGAGAUAUUUUCCACUGCAUUGAUAUUAUCCAUAAGCUUGCACGUGUACAAAUUCAUAUGCAGGCUUAGUUCAGUGCAACUACUGGCUUUAAUUUCUGUUUUGUGUGGCCAGGCAAUUGCAGGCUGGGAUGAAGAGUUGAAGGUAGAGGGGAGGAAAACUUUACCUGCUGGUUGUCUAACAGUCACAGUUCUACAAAGAAUAUCGAAAACAUUCAUGAAUCAAGGGAAACAGUUUUAAUGCAAGGUCACACUGGUCUUCCUCACUGCUUGCUGUCAUGUACAUCAGAUGUCACAAGUGAAGAUACACCACCCCAGGCUAAACUGGGAAUUGUCUCAGGAACAGGGUUAGACUGGAAUAAAACUGUUGAGGUGUGUGCCUUCUGUGGUGAAUAGAAAUUCCUCACAUGCACUUUGAGUUCUUGAGUAUUUUUUUUUACUUAUGUUGCAGUUUUCAUCUACAGAAGGAAUUCUAACUUGGAAGGUCAUGUAGGUCACAUUUCUGACCCUGUUGGCAUCAUAUAAACAUCUUUAUGUAAGAAGAGCCUUAAGGUACCUUACUCAAAUCUUAGGUAUAAAGAAUUUCAGAAGUUGUUCAUACAGCACAAUUGUGAGAAAGGCUAUGUGGGAGAGUCCUACUUACUCUGCCUUCACCACACAUUCAAGCUCAACUUUUACCAUAGCCAGAGUUCCAGUUAUCCAGUGAAAUCUGUGCUAGCAUAGCUUUGCUUUAAUUCAUAUGAAGCCGUCAUGAAUCAUUAGGCAGAAAUCAAAAAGCUUAGUGAAGCUUUGGGUGCAUUGUGGAACAAUGUGGAAGAGCAAGGAAAGACAGUUAUACAAUAAUUUAAUCUUUUAGAGCGUGGUAGUGUGAUGCCAAGCUUUAAAAUUUAUUUGGACUUUUUUUUUGAGAACAAGUGUUUAAAGAUAUAUGCAAGUAAUCAAAAAUUACUGCAUUAUUCUACCUUAAUUACUUCAUAUACUUGUCAUCACACAUGUGGUCCAUUACUGCUACUAUUGCAGAGGAGUCUAUGUGUGUGCUUUGUAAGGCGUGGUCAGAAGGAAACACAAAGAGUACCCCACACAAAGAAAACUUGCAGCUGUAUGAGCAGGUGUCAACAGUUGAUAAACUCUGAGUGUCUGAAACAGACAGCUGAUUUAGAUCAUGCUCAGUGUAGACUACCCACUGAAUGAAGGCUAGACAUAGUUACCCUGUAAAGACAGGGCCUAUAAACUUUUUUUGUAUUCCCAGUGUAAUUUAUACUACUUGUAAGGACAAGGUCUUGGGUUCUGUGAUAGAAGUGUAUUGGUACAAGAAUUGAAAAAAGAACAAAACAUUGUUAGCUAUAUCUCUGAUAAUUGAAUCAUUCUUCCUCCAGAUUCCAGAAAAUACAAGGCAUUGCUGGACAGCUGUAGCUCUACAUUUAAGUACUCUGACAGUGAAUUACUGAGCAAGAGAGAACAUUCCAAGGAGGCGGGUGACAAGCACACAGAGCUCACUGCUAAACUACUACAAUCAAUUACUCUAAUCUUCUCUCUUUGAAUGGAAUUGCAACAUUUUGCAUCGCAGCAAAGACAAACAUCUAGCUGUCCAGAAGGAAAGAGGACUGAGGACUUCUGCUAAUACUGCCCCUUGCUUUCUGUGUGGCUGCUUUCUGUUACAGUAGCAUCCAAAUGUGAUUAAUAAGGACAGCAAAAAGGAAAGCAAUGGGUGAGUGAAUGUUUGCUUGUCAUUGACCACCUGGUUCACUUUGGCAUGGCAGAAUUUAAACUCAGUAGGAUUAGAACUAAAUUUUUUUUUUAGG